GGAACAGCUCAAGCUCCGGCUUGAGCUGUUGACGGCAGCUUUUAGAAACGACGACGUUGCCCAGGCUGGGGAGGAGCAGAGGGAACAGGAGGAGGAAACGACAGUACAGAGAGAUGUUGCUGAUGGAGAGAUGAGUGAUGGGACGGAGCAGCAACAAACUUUAAGUUAGAUUUUUUAUUUUAUUUUUUUAUUUAUAAAGUUG